UUUAAUCUUAACUUUUUCUUUCAAAAAUAUUUGUUAAAUCAAUUAUUUACAGAUAUAUAUUUAAUAAAUAAAAAAAAUAAGUAGGAUUCAGUAAUAAUGAUUCAGUAUCACAGAAUUCAAAACAAUUUUAAUUUCAUUCAUAAAACGUUAUCAAAAAGUAUCGUAAAUCAAGAAAAAUCAACUAAGUAUGCGUUUUGUUUAAAAACAGAGAACAGGAAGUUGAAAACAAAAUCAAAACUAUUGAACAAAACAUUACAAAAUGAUAGCAUCACAAAAUUGUAUUGCGGCAUUGGCUAUCGAAUAAAGGAAAUACAACAACUGGAGAUAUUACUUUCUAUUCAUUGUACGGUUCUUAAAAUUAAAAAUAAUGCAAUUCACGUAAGACUUACAUUUCAAAGGGAUGCAUUUAUUGAUUUAUCGUAUGAUGUAGAUCAUGGAAUACUUUCACUUAAAGAUAUGACUCCAAAACACAGAAAUUUUAAACAUAUUUCAAAGUUUUUUGAUGAUACUCAAGACAUUCAAGGACUCAUUUACCAUGCAAAGAAAUUUAUAUCGAAAACCGAAUCAAUAACAAACAUGGAAAUAAAACUACAAAAGAUGUAAUUGACUUUGAUUUUGAAUUUUAUUUCAAACUAAUUUUCCCAUACUAACAAUUCUUUAAAGUAUUGAUGUUAUUGAUUGAAAAUAAAAAGAGAGAA